AUCGCAAAGAGCAUCAGCUCCACGAACUGGGUGAGCCAGCAGGAUGAGGAGUCAGGCUGAGACAUAGCAGUCACGUUACUGAGACUUCUUCACAGGGACUGAAGUGGUUGGGAGGAAAGGAGUAAAAGGGACAGCAGUAACCACUACAGCAGUGUGGACAACCCAAAAUAGCGAUGGGGCAGGUGGAGUAGAUCCACAGUGGUGGAAACACUUGCAAAUUUCAGGUCCAGGAAAGGAACACAGAAGACCUACAUGAACAGGGACCUUAAAUUGAUGUAUGAGGAGGGAGUAAAGAGGCUCAUCUGAGAGACCUUUCUGUUUAGGAAGGAAGACAGGGGAACGAUGCAGUUUCUUUUGAUUUUGUUUUGUGGAUUUUUGGGUGGGGGUUGUUUGUUGUGUGUUUGUUUUCCAGAACACCUGAGAGCUAUCCUGCAUUCAUACAGUUCAAGAAGGGAAGGGCUCAGGAAAAAUAUCAUUUCUGGCUACAAAGUCGAGACAGCACCAGAUCCUAGCAGUCGUUACGCCCCUGUUGCACUGUUCCACAGGGUUGCCCCCUACCUGCACAGCUGCUCACCUGGCAUCCCACUCAUUUACAAGAGUAUGGAGAGAACUGGAAUGCAAAGCUGAGGCAUUUUUAUGAUCUUUUAUUGUCCUACAUUUCCAGCUGUUUGUAAAACAAAUGCAGUGACUUGUUUUGGUGUUGUGGUCAGACUGUUUCAGUGUUGUGGUCAGCCUGCAGCCAUUUUUGUAUUUAAUAAAGAAACUUCUGCAGAAGAGUGUGAGUUCA